rnacentral:lncRNA from 1 species
AGCUUCACAGCUUAGGGGUUUUGUUAAACUGCCAUCCUGUUUCUUCUAUUUAAGGUAUAUGUUCUCCAAUACGCAUCAGCGGUUGGUGAUGGACCUGAUUUUUCAUUUGCCUUUUGCCCCAAGCUAUUGCACUCGUCUCUAGAGGCCCUCAUGAAGACCCAAAGGGCUGAUGUCGGCUUGAAUUGCGUAGGUCAGUAUUCC